ensembl:snRNA U6 U6 spliceosomal RNA
GUGCUUGCUUCAGCAGCACAUAUACUAACAUAUGAAUCAUACAGAGAAGAUUAGUAUGUCCCCUGCGCAAGGAUGACAUGCAAAUUCAUGAAGCGUUCCAUAUUUUU